UGAGGAAUAUUGGUCAAUGGGCGAAAGCCUGAACCAGCCAUGCCGCGUGAAGGAAUAAGGCCCUAUGGGUCGUAAACUUCUUUUGUAUCGGAGCAAUAAGGGUCACGAGUGAUCCGAUGAGAUUACGAUACGAAUAAGCAUCGGCUAACUCCGUGCCAGCAGCCGCGGUAAUACGGAGGAUGCAAGCGUUAUCCGGAUUUAUUGGGUUUAAAGGGUGCGUAGGCUGUUCUGCAAGUCAGCGGUGAAAGCCCGGGGCUCAACCCCGGAAAUGCCGUUGAUACUGCGGGGCUGGAAUACGGAUGCCGUGGGAGGAAUGAGUAGUGUAGC
rnacentral:rRNA from 1 species